AGUGAACGCUGGCGGUAGGCCUAACACAUGCAAGUCGAACGGCAGCACAGGAGAGCUUGCUCUCUGGGUGGCGAGUGGCGGACGGGUGAGGAAUACAUCGGAAUCUACUUUUUCGUGGGGGAUAAUGUAGGGAAACUUACGCUAAUACCGCAUACGACCUACGGGUGAAAGCAGGGGAUCUUCGGACCUUGCGCGAUUGAAUGAGCCGAUGUCGGUUUAGCUAGUUGGCGGGGUAAAGGCCAACCAAGGGGACGAUCCGUAGCUGGUCUGAGAGAGAGAUCAUCCAACCUGGAACUGAGACACGGUCCAGACUCCGACGGGAGGCAGAAGUGGGGAAUAUUGGACAAUGGGCGCAAGCCUGAUCCAGCCAUACCGCGUGGGUGAAGAAGGCCUUCGGGUUGUAAAGCCCUUUUGUUGGGAAAGAAAUCCAGCUGGUUAAUACCCGGUUGGGAUGACGGUACCCAAAGAAUAAGCACCGGCUAACUUCGUGCCAGCAGCCGCGGUAA
rnacentral:rRNA from 1 species